AGGACGAACGCUGGCGGCGUGCUUAACACAUGCAAGUCGAGCGGAAAGGCCCUUCGGGGUACUCGAGCGGCGAACGGGUGAGUAACACGGGAGUAAUCUGCCCCUAGCUCUGGGAUAGCUCCGGGAAACCGGGAUUAAUACCGGAUACGACCACCUUAGACAUCUUUUGUGGUGGAAAGAAUUUCGGCUAGGGAUGAGCUCGCGGCCUAUCAGCUUGUUGGUGGGUAACGCCUACAAGGCGACGACGGUAG
rnacentral:rRNA from 1 species